UCUAUUUCAAGUUUAAUAUUUUUCUGAUGAAUAUGUCUAUUGAUAUUUUGAAUUAAAACAACACUUAGUUAACAGCUACAUUUCUGAAGAAGACGCUGUUUUACUUUUUGGCUUCUACUGUGUUGUUCUUACUGUGUCUGAGAAACGAGGCAUCUUCUCUACCCUCGCCAUCUUGGAUUUUAG